UGGGAGCUUUCAGGGAUCAUUUCUAUAGUAUGUUACUAGAGAAUUGUGGCUGAAAGCGUAGCACGGAGGUAACCAUGAGGAGGAGCUGUGGUGUUCUCUUCUGAGCAUGAAGCCGGUUUGUGACACUUUGUCAGCAGCUGUCACCUACCAUUGAUGAUUGUUCUUCCUUCCCUUUGGGUUGGGUGAAAAGAAGAGGAUACAGGCUGAGUGGC
rnacentral:snoRNA from 1 species